rnacentral:rRNA from 1 species
UACGUAGGCAGCGAGCGUUGUUCGGGGUUACUGGGCGUAAAGCGUGCGUAGGCGGUUUUCUAAGUUUGGUGUGAAAUCUCCCGGCUUAACUGGGAGGGUGCGCCGAAAACUGGAAGGCUUGAGUAUGGGAGAGGUAAGCGGAAUUCCUGGUGUAGAGGUGAAAUUCGUAGAUAUCGGGAGGAACACCGGUGGCGAAGGCGGCGACCUGGGUAGAUACUGACGCUGAGGCGCGAAAGCGUGGGGAGCAAACAGG